CCUAGGUAUAAAUAUAUAAUUAUGCUUGGCCGACCACCCCUUUUCUUUUCUUCCCUUGUUUUGUGCCGCCCAAACCCUAAGAAUUUUGGCUCAUCUCCUCUUUUAGUUUUUCUUCUUUUUUCUCCCUAAGUGACGCCACUCCUACCACCACCUUUUAGCCACCAUUUCCAUCCUUUUCCCUUCUCCUCCUCUUCUUUCCUCUCUUUAUUUCUCCUAGCCACUGUACUAGGCACCUUAAACCGCCGAACCCCCUUUGGAUUUUCCCUUGCCACCAUUCCUAACACCUAUUGGGACUGUCGUUUCACUCUUUUGUCAAACCACCCUCAUACAUUCGAAUUUUCCUUUUCCCACUGUCACACUACAUCAUUCUUUGUUGUCGAGUUCCUUUUCUUUUAAUGUUGAUUUAUUUCUGUUCAUGUGAAUCACCUUUGGCGUAAGACUGUAGUGGUUAAAUCCAUAUUCAUUGCAACAAUCGGAUUUUCAUACGUAUAAUGUUUAAAGGGCCAGAUCUGGGAGAGUCGAAUCAGAUCUGAUCGAGGGGUGUACCGCACGGUCUAGUAGCGAAGAUUUUGGAUUUAAGUUACAAGCUCGGGGAUCAUCAGCAAAGUCCACAAUAUCUGCUGUUUUGGUAUUUAAAUAGUCGAACUUGAACUAUGGCAUGUAUAGGUUGGAUUUUAUUUUGAAAUAUUAGAUUUUUGGGUCGUGUAUAAUUUAGCCAUGCGAAAAUGGCUUAAGUGUUAUGCUUGAGUUUGGUUUGGCUAGACUAUGGUUUGAGCUCGUUUCAAUUAUUUUGCUAUAUGCCAUGAGUUGGAAGUAAUUAUGUUAUGGGUUUUGAGUAUUGAAUUUAAUUAUAAAUCUUGGAUGUGGUAUGAAGGUGAUUAGCUUGGAUGUGUAUUAUACCAAGAUAAAGUAUGCAAGCGGAUCUUGUUUAUUAUAUUUAGUUUUAAUGUAAUAUGUUUUUAGUAAUAAAGAUUUAUGAAAUUGGUUUGUUAA